rnacentral:rRNA from 1 species
CAGCAGCCGCGGUAAUACAGAGGCCUCAAGCGUUGUUCGGAUUCAUUGGGCGUAAAGGGUGCGUAGGUGGCUUGGUAAGUUGAAGGUGAAAUCUCGGGGCUUAACCCCGAAACUGCCUUCAAUACUGCUAGGCUCGAGGACUGUAGAGGAGAAUGGAAUUCACGGUGUAGCAGUGAAAUGCGUAGAUAUCGUGAGGAAGACCAGUGGCGAAGGCGAUUCUCUGGGCAGUUCCUGACACUGAGGCACGAAGGCCAGGGGAGCAAACGGGAUUAGAUACCCCCGUAGUCCCUGUCUCUUAUAC